GCCAUCUUGUGCACUUCGGAGCGCGGGAAAGUGCGUCGCUUCGGUACUACCCCGUUCUGUGCCUCUACCUUCUGUUCGUCGAGGCAGCCAGCGGCGGCCGGGACUAAGUCGUCGGUGUUGUCAAAUUUUCAAGCGGAGGGCACAUGAAAGAAGAUGCAGACUCAUAGCCAAAGUUCACUUAACCUAUGGCUGUUCCCUUUUGUGAGCCAUUGCUGAUAGUGUGAAAGAAUUGAUCUGGCAAUCAGGGUGGGACCUGUGUCGCAGGGCCUGCUGGGCAAUACCCACAAGGAUGUGGUGGCUUCAUAUGCACAUCGCCUGUGCCAUAACCACAAGACCAGCUAGGAAUCCG